rnacentral:rRNA from 1 species
AUUAGCCAUGCAUGUCUCAGUACAAGCCAAAUUAAGGUGAAACCGCGAAAGGCUCAUUAAAUCAGUUAUGGUUCCUUAGAUCGUACCCACAUUUACUUGGAUAACUGUGGUAAUUCUAGAGCUAAUACAUGCAAACAGAGCUCCGACCGGAGACGGAAGGAGCGCUUUUAUUAGAUCAAAACCAAUCGGUGGCGGGCUUUGCUCGUCAUCGUAAUAUUUGGUGACUCUGAAUAACUUUACGCUGAUCGCACGGUCUCGCACCGGCGACGCAUCUUUCAAAUGUCUGCCUUAUCAACUGUCGAUGGUAGGUUCUGCGCCUACCAUGGUUGUAACGGGUAACGGGGAAUCAGGGUUCGAUUCCGGAGAGGGAGCCUGAGAAACGGCUACCACAUCCAAGGAAGGCAGCAGGCGCGCAAAUUACCCACUCCCGGCACGGGGAGGUAGUGACGAAAAAUAACGAUACGGGACUCAUCCGAGGCCCCGUAAUCGGAAUGAGUACACUCUAAACCCUUUAACGAGGAUCAAUUGGAGGGCAAGUCUGGUGCCAGCAGCCGCGGUAAUUCCAGCUCCAAUAGCGUAUAUUAAAGUUGUUGCGGUUAAAA